AGAGUUUGAUCCUGGCUCAGGAUGAACGCUGGCGGCGUGCUUAACACAUGCAAGUCGAACGAAGCGGCUGCAGGGAUUCCCUUCGGGGAGGAACAGUAGCUGUCUGAGUGGCGGACGGGUGAGUAACGCGUGGGCAACCUGCCCCAUACCGGGGGAUAACAGCCGGAAACGGCUGCUAAUACCGCAUACGCCCAGGAGGCUGCAUAGCUUCCUGGGGAAAACUCCGGUGGUAUGGGAUGGGCCCGCGUCUGAUUAGCUCGUUGGCGGGGUAACGGCCCACCAAGGCGACGAUCAGUAGCCGGCCUGAGAGGGCGGCCGGCCACAUUGGGACUGAGACACGGCCCAGACUCCUGCGGGAGGCAGCAGUGGGGAAUAUUGCACAAUGGGGGAAACCCUGAUGCAGCGACGCCGCGUGAGCGAUGAAGUAUCUCGGUAUGUAAAGCUCUAUCAGCAGGGAAGAAAGUGACAGUACCUGACUAAGAAGCCCCGGCUAACUACGUGCCAGCAGCCGCGGUAAUACGUAGGGGGCAAGCGUUAUCCGGAUUCACUGGGCGUAAAGGGAGCGCAGGCGGCACGGCAAGUCUGGUGUGAAAACCCGGGGCUCAACCCCGGGACUGCAUUGGAAACUGCCGGGCUGGAGUGUCGGAGGGGUAAGCGGAAUUCCUAGUGUAGCGGUGAAAUGCGUAGAUAUUAGGAGGAACACCAGUGGCGAAGGCGGCUUACUGGACGAUGACUGACGCUGAGGCUCGAAAGCGUGGGGAGCAAACAGGAUUAGAUACCCUGGUAGUCCACGCCGUAAACGA
rnacentral:rRNA from 1 species